UCUGUGCAGUGACCAGCAAGGCCCCUGAGAACUCUCCCCUCCAAAACAGGGGAAAUGAGACUUUGGUUUCAUUUAGUUUUCAUUUUUGCAGCUUUGGAAGGUGCCCGGUCGCAGGGCUUGGUGGAGUCCGGAGGGGAUGUGAAAAAGCCAGGAGCCUCUCUCCGCCUCUCCUGCAAAGCCUCGGGGUUCACCUUCAGCAGCUACUGGAUGGAAUGGGUCCGUCAGGCCCCCGGGAAGGGGCUGGAGUGGGUCGCCCGUAUCAGCAGCGGCAGUGGGACCAGCAUAUACUACGGUGAUGCAGUCAGAGGGCGAUUCACCAUCUCCAGGGACAACCCCAACAACCUGCUGUAUCUGCAAAUGACCGGCCUGAAGCCCGAGGACACCGCCCGCUAUUACUGUGCCAGACACACACCCUGCACAGUGAGGGGAAGCCGGGCUGAGCCCAGACAAAAACCUCCCGUGGCGGUUACCAGAGAAAGUCCCAGCUGGUUUGCUGCUGACAGGACGCGCUGGGAGCUCACAGGAGACACCUCCGGCUUCACCUUCAGCAGCUACGGCAUGAGCUGGGUCCGUCUGUCCCCCGGGAAGGGGCUGGAGUGGCUGGCCAGAACUGCUGCUCAGGGAAGCGCCUACUACACUGAUUCCGUGCAAGGGCGAUUCUCCUUCUCCAGAGACAACCCCAAGAGCCUGGAGCAAAAUCAGCAGCCUGAGAGCGGAGGACACACACAGCCAGGGACCUAG